AACCGCUCCAUUAAAAUGAAUGAUACCCUGCCCCGCUUCAGGAGCGGAGUCGAGGGAGCGUAGAGAAACAGAACGGUUCCUUAGUAUCUAUACCGUGCUACAAAUUCAUAAAAAAAAUUGAUCAAGAUUGGUACAUCAAAGAAGGAUCUGAAGGUGUCGAAAAUGUUGAGAAUAGGAGGCAUCAGGAUUAAAGAUAUUGCCAAUUUGCUUCCAUACUCUCGUACACUAGGUUUUCAUGUGUGGAUGAGGUCUGGCUUGAAUCGCGGGUAUAAAUGAAUCUACUAGAUACAAUUAGCUUUAAGCCAGUAGAUUGUUUCACAACCAUAUAUACCAUAUUUAUUUGAACUUAACGGGUAGGUCUGCUAGAUGUCAAAAGGAAAAUCCAGUGCAUUCUCAUAAGAAAGCCCUAUACUGGGUUGUGAUUAAAGAAAACUCUACAACUUGCAUGCCUCCAAUUCAUCAUCCCAAAUAAUAACGCACACACGUUGUGAUAUAUUUGCA
rnacentral:lncRNA from 1 species